CAGUCGCCGCGGGAAUACGGAGGGUGCAAGCGUUAAUCGGAAUUACUGGGCGUAAAGCGCACGCAGGCGGUCUGACAAGUCAGAUGUGAAAUCCCCGGGCUUAACCUGGGAACUGCAUUUGAGACUGUCAGGCUGGAGUCUUGUAGAGGGGGGUGGAAUUCCAGGUGUAGCGGUGAAAUGCGUAGAGAUCUGGAGGAAUACCGGUGGCGAAGGCGGCCCCCUGGACAAAGACUGACGCUCAGGUGCGAAAGCGUGGGGAGCAAACAGGAUUAGAUACCCCGGUAGUCCCUGUCUCUUAUAA
rnacentral:rRNA from 1 species